rnacentral:rRNA from 1 species
AAGUUUGAUCGUGGCUCAGAUUGAACGCUGGCGGCAGGCCUAACACAUGCAAGUCGAGCGGAUGACGGGAGCUUGCUCCUUGAUUCAGCGGCGGACGGGUGAGUAAUGCCUAGGAAUCUGCCUGGUAGUGGGGGACAACGUUUCGAAAGGAACGCUAAUACCGCAUACGUCCUACGGGAGAAAGCAGGGGACCUUCGGGCUUUGCGCUAUCAGAUGAGCCUAGGUCGGAUUAGCUAGUUGGUGGGGUAAUGGCUCACCAAGGCGACGAUCCGUAACUGGUCUGAGAGGAUGAUCAGUCACACUGGAACUGAGACACGGUCCAGACUCCUACGGGAGGCAGCAGUGGGGAAUAUUGGACAAUGGGCGAAAGCCUGAUCCAGCCAUGCCGCGUGUGUGAAGAAGGUCUUCGGAUUGUAAAGCACUUUAAGUUGGGAGGAAGGGCAGUAAGUUAAUACCUUGCUGUUUUGACGUUACCGACAGAAUAAGCACCGGCUAACUCUGUGCCAGCCGCCG